CAACAGUUACAUGAAGCAGAGCAUGUGAAAGCAUCCCACUUCCACCACCUACCCGCUACUUUCCCUUCACCAUCCCUCUCCUUUCCCCCGCUCCGGCCGCUCUCCUCCGUAUGCGAUGCAAUCUAUAUCGAGCAAAACAGAGUGAGUGAAGCUGUCGAGUUCUUGCGCUUCACUUUCGCUUCGCGGUCGUAUUCCCCCCAUAGUAAAAGAAAGGGGUUGGGAGGAGUUAGAGGGAAAUCUCCACGCCCUAAUGGCCAAAUCCCCCGACGACGGCGGCCGGACGAACCUGGCUUCUUGCCUGGUAGCGACGGCCUUCCUCCUCCUCGUCGUGGCCGCCGUCGCCGCCGCGCUUUUCGUCCUCUUCCGGCCACGCGACCCCGAGAUCCAGGUCUCUGCCGUCCGGCUCCCGGGCUUCGCCGCCGCCAACGGCACCCUGCGCUUCGCCUUCGACCAGUACGCCUCGGUCCGCAACCCCAACCGCGCCGCCUUCUCCCACUACGACAGCACCCUCCAGCUCGUCUACGCCGGCAACCAGGUGGGGUUCAUGUUCAUCCCAGCCGGUCAGAUCGCCGGCGGCCGCACCCAGUACAUGGCCGCCUCCUUCGCCGUCGACUCCUUCCCGCUGGCCGCCGUCCCGCCCGCCCCCGGGGGAACGGUCGAGGUGAAUUCGAGGAUGAGGGUCAAGGGCCGCGUCCGGGUCCUGCGGUUCUUCACGCACCACGUCGAGGCCGUCGCCAACUGCCGCGUCAGGGCCUCCUCCGCCGACGGAUCCGUUCUAGGGUUCCGGUGCUGAUCGCGCCCAAUCAGGAUCAAGGUCAAGAUCAAUUCAAAUUACAAGCAAGAAAACAAGAGCCGAAAAGGAGAGGCACAACUCCUCUUGUGGUCGAGGGCUUGAAAGCUAUGGUGGUAAACUGAGGUACUAAUUUAGUUGCUCAAACAUUGUUUGAUAUUGCUCAGCAGCCUUUAUCACAUGACUAGUGUAGCACACAGACUUUGCAUUUUGUUUUCCUCUCAUAUCAAUGCUCAACUCAUGGUUGGAGUUACCAAUGGGUAAAUGUACAACUCCUCUUGUGGUUGAGGGCUUGAAAACUAUGGUGAUGAAUUAAGGUACU